rnacentral:rRNA from 1 species
GCUCCUUUAUCUUAGCGGCGGACGGGUGAGUAACACGUGGGCAACCUGCCCUGCAGAUCGGGAUAACUCCGGGAAACCGGUGCUAAUACCGAAUAGUUUGCGGCCUCUCAUGAGGCUGCACGGAAAGACGGUUUCGGCUGUCACUGCAGGAUGGGCCCGCGGCGCAUUAGCUAGUUGGUGAGGUAACGGCUCACCAAGGCCACGAUGCGUAGCCGACCUGAGAGGGUGAUCGGCCACACUGGGACUGAGACACGGCCCAGACUCCUACGGGAGGCAGCAGUAGGGAAUCUUCCGCAAUGGACGAAAGUCUGACGGAGCAACGCCGCGUGAGUGAAGAAGGUUUUCGGAUCGUAAAACUCUGUUGUGAGGGAAGAACAAGUACCAACUAACUACUGGUACCUUGACGGUACCUCACCAGAAAGCCACGGCUAACUACGUGCCAGCAGCCGCGGUAAUACGUAGGUGGCAAGCGUUGUCCGGAAUUAUUGGGCGUAAAGCGCGCGCAGGCGGUCCUUUAAGUCUGAUGUGAAAGCCCACGGCUCAACCGUG